GACGAACGCGGCGGCGUGCUUAACACAUGCAAGUCGAACGAUGAAGCCUAGCUUGCUAGGUGGAUUAGUGGCGAACGGGUGAGUAAUACGUGAGUAACCUACCUUUAACUCUGGGAUAAGCCUGGGAAACUGGGUCUAAUACCGGAUACGACCGAUCUCCGCAUGGGGUGUUGGUGGAAAGCGUUAUGUAGUGGUUAUAGAUGGGCUCACGGCCUAUCAGCUUGUUGGUGAGGUAACGGCUCACCAAGGCGACGACGGGUAGCCGGCCUGAGAGGGUGACCGGCCACACUGGGACUGAGACACGGCCCAGACUCCUACGGGAGGCAGCAGUGGGGAAUAUUGCACAAUGGGCGCAAGCCUGAUGCAGCGACGCCGCGUGAGGGAUGACGGUCUUCGGGUUGUAAACCUCUGUUAGCAGGGAAGAAGAGAAAUUGACGGUACCUGCAGAGAAAGCGCCGGCUAACUACGUGCCAGCAGCCGCGGUAAUACGUAGGGCGCGAGCGUUGUCCGGAAUUAUUGGGCGUAAAGAGCUUGUAGGCGGUUUGUCGCGUCUGCUGUGAAAGGCCGGGGCUUAACCCCGUGUAUUGCAGUGGGUACGGGCAGACUAGAGUGCAGUAGGGGAGACUGGAAUUCCUGGUGUAGCGGUGGAAUGCGCAGAUAUCAGGAGGAACACCGAUGGCGAAGGCAGGUCUCUGGGCUGUAACUGACGCUGAGAAGCGAAAGCAUGGGGAGCGAACAGG
rnacentral:rRNA from 1 species